GGCAAAAGCUCAAAUUUGAAAUCUGGUACCUUCGGUGCCCGAGUUGUAAUUUGGAGAGGGCAACUUUGGGGCCGUUCCUUGUCUAUGUUCCUUGGAACAGGACGUCAUAGAGGGUGAGAAUCCCGUGUGGCGAGGAGUGCGGUUCUUUGUAAAGUGCCUUCGAAGAGUCGAGUUGUUUGGGAAUGCAGCUCUAAGUGGGUGGUAAAUUCCAUCUAAAGCUAAAUAUUGGCGAGAGACCGAUAGCGAACAAGUACAGUGAUGGAAAGAUGAAAAGAACUUUGAAAAGAGAGUGAAAAAGUACGUGAAAUUGUUGAAAGGGAAGGGCAUUUGAUCAGACAUGGUGUUUUGUGCCCUCUGCUCCUUGUGGGUAGGGGAAUCUCGCAUUUCACUGGGCCAGCAUCAGUUUUGGUGGCAGGAUAAAUCCAUAGGAAUGUAGCUUGCCUCGGUAAGUAUUAUAGCCUGUGGGAAUACUGCCAGCUGGGACUGAGGACUGCGACGUAAGUCAAGGAUGCUGGCAUAAUGGUUAUAUGCCGCCCGUCUUGAACC
rnacentral:rRNA from 1 species